GCGGACGUGGCGGAAUUGGUAGACGAGAUUUAGGUUCUGGCGCCGCAAGGUGUGAGAGUUCAAGUCUCUCCGUCCGCACCA
rnacentral:tRNA from 1 species